rnacentral:lncRNA from 1 species
GGCGAUACCCGAAAAGGAGGAUUGAGUUAACGAGGUUUUUCACCUCCCCGUCUCCUAAGCGACUACCCUGCUCAGCCCAACUAUUAUCUGCAACUUGCCUACAACAGAUGAGAGGAGCUUUCCGCCUAGCGAGGACUGUCACUCUCACACUAGGUGUCUACACAACUGCGACAAGGAGUCCACACUGGCAAGAAGUAGUCUAGACACCACGUCUAAACUAGCUCUUGCUACCCUAAGCUUAGCUAAAGCUAAGAGCACUCAAGAUCAAGCAAUGUGCCAGUAA